rnacentral:rRNA from 1 species
UUUAUUGAAACUUUGGUGGAUUUAAUUUAUUUCUAGUGGCGGACGGGUGAGUAACGCGUGGGUAACCUGCCUUAUACUGGGGGAUAACAGCCAGAAAUGACUGCUAAUACCGCAUAAGCGCACAGAACCGCAUGGUUCGGUGUGAAAAACUCCGGUGGUAUAAGAUGGACCCGCGUUGGAUUAGCUGGUUGGCAGGGCAGCGGCCUACCAAGGCGACGAUCCAUAGCCGGCCUGAGAGGGUGAACGGCCACAUUGGGACUGAGACACGGCCCAGACUCCUACGGGAGGCAGCAGUGGGGAAUAUUGCACAAUGGGGGAAACCCUGAUGCAGCGACGCCGCGUGAAGGAAGAAGUAUCUCGGUAUGUAAACUUCUAUCAGCAGGGAAGAUAAUGACGGUACCUGACUAAGAAGCCCCGGCUAACUACGUGCCAGCAGCCGCGGUAAUACGUAGGGGGCAAGCGUUAUCCGGAUUUACUGGGUGUAAAGGGAGCGUAGACGGCGCAGCAAGUCUGAUGUGAAAGGCAGGGGCUUAACCCCUGGACUGCAUUGGAAACUGCUGUGCUUGAGUGCCGGAGGGGUAAGCGGAAUUCCUAGUGUAGCGGUGAAAUGCGUAGAUAUUAGGAGGAACACCAGUGGCGAAGGCGGCUUACU